rnacentral:lncRNA from 1 species
GAUGAGGACAUCCCUAGCAUUCAUUCAUCUUCAAAUGAAACUCCACUUGAUAUAAGUGGUCCAAUUACAAGAAGUAGAGCUAAACAAUUGGAGAAGGAAAUUCAUUCUCAGGUGAACGCUAACCUUAUGUUUAAUAAUCAGUUUAUGUUGAAUGAUCCUAUACUUUUGAGUUCUUGUUUCAAUGUCCUUAGGAAUGAUGGAGGGUAUGAACCAGCAUGGGAUGAAGAUGGAUUCAAGCCUUUGGACAUCUGAACCAAGAAGCCUAUCGUGUGCAUAAAUAAAAUGGUGGUUCAUUACUUCUGCAUGAGAAGGCAACCAGAAGCUAGAUGGCUGACCCAUGGUACAAAUUCCAAGCAUCACCACGGACAGAAUACAAGGAGUUACGUGGCAUUCUACAGAUGGAUGAAAGCAUCUUUAAGUCUAUGUUGCAGCCCAUCAAACGGUUCAUUAUUUAGACUUCCCAAUAAAGAGUUAUGCUCAUUUUAGUAACUGCUGCCAGAAGCUGAGAAGACGCGCGAACCAGCCACGAAAUCCACUAGUGGAUGUGCAUGCUGUCAUGUAUUCAAAGCUGAACGCCCCUAUCUAUAUAUAUCUCUUGUACUAGACAAUGAAAGGACAUUUUUUGCUUGGUUAAAAUUCAGAAUACACAAACUCGUGGAGUUUUGUUUAUGCGUGAGUCUUGAGAGGCUUGCAAAACUCGUUCUUUCGAUUCCUGAGGGAGUUGUAGAACGCCGAACUGCGGUUCAUCCAGUUUGUGCCUUCACGUCUAUACGGCGUGAUUGCGUGGGCUAUUCGUCGGUACGUGGAAGGGUGAUUGUCUCGGUAGUUCGUCGCGUGGACAGCCUCGCGGUGCACUGUCUCUUCACCAGGUCACGCAGCGACAAGUUAUCAAGUUCGCGAAUCCUACGAGAAGAUCGGGCCACAACGACUUGUCUCACGCUAUCCCUAGGCGUGAGCAUAUCAACAGUGCCUAUUUUGUAUCUAACCUUUUGGCCUGAGAUCAAGUGCAUUCAAAAUUCAUAGAAAGAAUUAUAGCAUAUGGUUCAUUUAUUGGAAAUGUAUGUCACUGAAGGACACACAAAAACAAGUAAACAGUGAACAUCUGAAUAUGCAGCAAGUCAUUGAAAGAAAAACAUUUUCAAAUGAAGCAUUGACUUGUUACUGGUUACAUGUUUGGCUAAACUAAUAUUGUGUUCCAGAUGCACUAUCACUCAAACAGCACCAAAGUGAGAGUAGCAACAGUCAUAACCUACACCAAUCUAGGUAGAAUAUCUAGCUUUGCAAUGAGGCCCCUAACCUACACCAAUAAAGAGAAAUCUAGAAAAAAUUCAGUUAGCAACAUAAUGAGCAGUCAGUCAUUUUUCUGAGCUUCUAGACAUCCAAUGUAAAUAUGAUGAAAAAAUGCUACAAUUUUUUUGUCCUCAAAUUACAAGUUCAGAUAGAUCUUUUAUCAAAUUGAUAAUAAAAUACAUGUAUUUUGUACCCUAGUACUGCAGAACUACCAAGCACAUAUAUGCAGCUGCACCUAUUUUCAGUUUAAUAUUCACAAAUCAAUCACUAGAUUAGAUCUGUUUUAAAAUUGUUGCCAACCACUGCAGAUACGUCAGCACUUAAGAUUUUGGCUCUAUUAUUAGAACAGUUGAAAGUGUUUCCCCCAUUCAGUCAUUAUAAGAAACAGGUAGCCAGCACACAUGGGCAUCACAAGAUAAGCACACGAGCGAUCGAGACUCACCGCAAAAAACACCCCGACGGCGUUGCUGACCGGAGAUCUGGUGGCCUUGAAGUCCCUACAAGGCAAGAUGUGGCACACAAAUAAGCAGGCGGGAAGGAAAUGAGGGCAAUAGCUGGGGAGAAAGGGACAGAGGGAUGAGGGAGGCCCAAACCUGUUUUAUUAUCAUCACAGUCCAAUCCCCUAUUGUAUUUUACUAGUAAAUUAAUAGACUGGUAUAAUAGGACCAUCGAUUGAGACCUAAACCUAUGUGAAUAUGUGAUUUAAACCUUCAGAAAUUACAGAUCUAUGCUAAUAGCCAUUGGAUCCAGUCACACAAUAGCAAGCUUACUUAAAGAGAAGAUGGAUCUGAAUUUUUACCUGUGCACAGUGACCUGAUUGCAACAAGAAGCAAGGUGGAUCCAAAUUUCCAAUGACUUGAGAUCUGAAUGCAAGGAGAAUGAAGGAGAGUCUGACGUCCUGGACUGUGCUCAGGCCUCGAUGUGGAGGGUAUCGGCAGGAGCACACAUGACUGCGGGGCGAUGGAUGAGGAGGAGGAUGGGAUGAGCAGAGGAGGGCAGAUGUGCGACAAUGGUAGGUGUUCGUGUGAGGGGCGAUGGAUGACGGCGAAGGAGGGGAUGAGCAAAUGAGGGAGGUGGAGUGGAGGGCAGACCAGCGCCGGCGGAAGGAGCUCGGGUGGGUGACGGUGGGAAGGGGUUUGGGCGAGUUGGGGAGG